GACGAACGCUGGCGGCGUGACUAAUACAUGCAAGUAGGACGCAGUUGCGAACGGGUGAGUAACGCGUAGGUAACUACCUAUUAGAGGGGGAUAACAAUUGGAAACGAUAGCUAAUACCGCAUACUAGUAGAUGGACCUGCGUUGUAUUAGCUAGUAGGUAGGGUAAUGGCCUACCUAGGCAACGAUCAAGAGCCGACCUGAGCGGGUGAUCGGCCCCACUGGGACUGAGACACGGCCCAGACUCCUCCGGGAAGCAGCAGGAGGGAAUGUUCGGCAAUGGGGGGAACCCUGACCGAGCAACGCCGCGUGAGUGUAGAAGGUUUUCGGAUCGUAAAGCUCUGUUGUUAAGGAAGCGGUACUUAACCAGAAAGGGACGGCUAACUACGUGCCAGCAGCCGCGGUAAUUC
rnacentral:rRNA from 1 species